rnacentral:rRNA from 1 species
CCUACGGGUGGCAGCAGUGGGGAGUAUUGCGCAAUGGGCGAAAGCCUGACGCAGCGACGCCGCGUGAGGGAUGAAGGUCUUCGGAUCGUAAACCUCUGUCAGCAGGGAAGAACAGUCACUGUGCUAAUCAGCAGUGAAUUGACGGUACCUGCAAAGGAAGCACCGGCUAACUCCGUGCCAGCAGCCGCGGUAAUACGGAGGGUGCGAGCGUUAAUCGGAGUUACUGGGCGUAAAGCGCUCGUAGGCGGUAUGUCAAGUCCAGGGUGAAAUCCCCGCGCUCAACGUGGGAACUGCCUUUGAAGCGUGCAAACAGGAGUGUGUGAGAGGAUAGGGGAAUUCACGGGG